AUGGUGGAUACCGUGAAAAAUCGCUUUGGACGAAGAAGGAACAGGAGCGAAAGGGUUUGGGAGGUUGGAAGAGAGGAGGAAACACAAGAGCCACGUACAGAUCAGAAUAUAAAAUUGGAACAACAGCACACUGAAAACGACCUGAUUCCGUUCAAACCACCUCCACCGCAAACAGCUCGCGAACAGCUUCAUCCUACAAUCGCGAAGAACACCCUCUGA